GGGUCUGUAGUCUAACGGUAGGACAUCGCCUUGACGUGGCGAAAAUCCCGGUUCAAAUCCGGGCAGACCCA
rnacentral:tRNA from 1 species